rnacentral:lncRNA from 1 species
AACAGGCUCGGGUGUGCUCGCCAUCGUGUGCUCUGUAGAUCAUUUAUUGAGUGUUGAACGUUGCGGUCUGUUAUUCAGUACAAUGUUUCCGUUUACAAUACAUUCAAGAUUUUAUACAAAGCUUCUGAUAUCGACCAUGCUGCAGCUGGCCGUACUUCACAGCUCCUUCUCACAGAUCGUGUUUCCUGGACAGGAUAGCAGCAGCAGCAGCAGCAGCAGCAGA